UGCAUCCAUUACGAUGGUUGUAA
rnacentral:snRNA from 1 species